GGCCGUAUGGUCUAGUAGCAUGAUUCUCGCUUUGGGGGUCACAAAUUUGUCUCAAUCUGCGAGAGGUCCUGGGUUCAAUUCCCAGUGCGGCCC